AUACCUUUCCGUGGCCUUUUGGCUAAGAUAAAGUGUAGUUUCUGUUCUUAUCAGUUUAAGAUUCUGAUAUGUGAUCAAUCGGCUCACAUGAUUUUAAAUUAAUUUUUUUUUCAUGGGGGAGUUCCCAUCACAGUGGCUUACUGUUGGGGCUCUUUCCGCAUUUCGGAACUAGUCAAUAUGCGAGAAUUGU